GCGUGUGUGAAGAAGGCCUUCGGGUUGUAAAGCACUUUCAGCGAGGAGGAAAGGUUGAUGCCUAAUACGUAUCAAUUGUGACGUUACUCGCAGAAGAAGCACCGGCUAACUCCGUGCCAGCAGCCGCGGUAAUACGGAGGGUGCAAGCGUUAAUCGGAAUUACUGGGCGUAAAGCGCACGCAGGCGGUUGGAUAAGUUAGAUGUGAAAGCCCCGGGCUCAACCUGGGAAUUGCAUUUAAAACUGUCCAGCUAGAGUCUUGUAGAGGGGGGUAGAAUUCCAGGUGUAGCGGUGAAAUGCGUA
rnacentral:rRNA from 1 species